rnacentral:rRNA from 1 species
CAACAGGGAUUGCCCCAGUAACGGCGAGUGAAGCGGCAACAGCUCAAAUUUGAAAUCUGGCCCCCCGGGGCCCGAGUUGUAAUUUGUAGAGGAUGCUUUUGGCGAGGCGCCUUCCGAGUUCCCUGGAACGGGACGCCACAGAGGGUGAGAGCCCCGUCUGGUUGGAUGCCGAGCCUCUGUAAAGCUCCUUCGACGAGUCGAGUAGUUUGGGAAUGCUGCUCUAAAUGGGAGGUAUAUGUCUUCUAAAGCUAAAUAUUGGCCAGAGACCGAUAGCGCACAAGUAGAGUGAUCGAAAGAUGAAAAGCACUUUGAAAAGAGGGUUAAAUAGUACGUGAAAUUGUUGAAAGGGAAGCGCUCAUGACCAGACUUGGGCCCGGUGGAUCAUCCAGCGUUCUCGCUGGUGCACUUUGCCGGGCCCAGGCCAGCAUCAGUUUGCCCCGGGGGACAAAGGCUCUGGGAAUGUGGCUCCUCCGGGAGUGUUAUAGCCCUCUGCGCAAUGCCCUGGGGCGGACUGAGGUUCGCGCAUCUGCAAGGAUGCUGGCGUAAUGGUCAUCAGCGACCCGUCUUGAAACACGGACCAAGGAGUCGUCCUCGUAUGCGAGUGUUCGGGUGUGAAACCCCUACGCGUAAUGAAAGUGAACGCAGGUGAGAGCUUCGGCGCAUCAUCGACCGAUCCUGAUGUUCUCGGAUGGAUUUGAGUAGGAGCAUACGGGGCCGGACCCGAAAGAAGGUGAACUAUGCCUGUAUAGGGUGAAGCCAGAGGAAACUCUGGUGGAGGCUCGCAGCGGUUCUGACGUGCAAAUCGAUCGUCAAAUAUGGGCA